CAGGCGUGCUCGUUGUGCAUUG
rnacentral:miRNA from 1 species